AAGCACUUGGCGACAUCUCGUGUGUUUGCAAACCCUUCAGGGGAUGAAGAACACGCAUGGAGCCAUCUCUUCCAGAAUCACGGGAUGCACUGGGCUCUGGAACAGAGGGCCAGUCUCAAGGCGGCUCACGCUGGGACCCCAAAGCCUCCGGCACACACUGGUUUUCCUGGAAGAGAGGGCUCUGCAGGCUGCUCUCCCAGCAGGGCCUGGAGUCUUGGCUUCUCAUCAUGGAAACUGCACUUUAAGCUUUGACAACACAAACAGCUUCUGCUCCUGGGAAAACCAGCACCUCCGAGGUGAAGUCCAGGGGGACCGCGGCCAGCUCUUUGGAAUCUCCUGCAGAUGGGGCCGGUGACACCCG
rnacentral:lncRNA from 1 species